GCACGGAGUUAGCCGGGGCUUCUUCUCUCGGUACCGUCAUUCUCCCGGGUUGUUCACCCGGAAGCCAUUCGUCUCGAUCGAAAGGAGUCUACGACCCGAAGGUCUUCAUCCUCCACGCGGCGUUGCGUCGUCAGGCUUGCGCCCAUUGCGAACAAUUCCCCACUGCUGCCUCCCGUAGGAGUCUGGGCCGUGUCUCAGUCCCAGUGUGUCCGUCCGCCCUCUCAGGCCGGAUACUGAUCGUUGCCUUGGAGAGCCGUUACCCCACCAACUAGCUAAUCAGACGCGGGCCCCUCUUCAAGUGCUAGGUCUUGCGAUCCCCAGCUUUGAUCUCCACCUCUUCAAAGGCAGGAUGUCAUGCGGUAUUAGCGUCCCUUUCGGGACGUUAUCCCCCGCUCGAAGGCAGGUCACCCACGUGUUACUCACCCGUUUGCCACUCUACUCAUCCCUUGCGGGACUUUCGCGUUCGACUUGCAUGUGUUAGGCACGCCGCCAGCGUUGAUU
rnacentral:rRNA from 1 species